rnacentral:rRNA from 1 species
UACAGAGGUCUCAAGCGUUGUUCGGAUUCAUUGGGCGUAAAGGGUGCGUAGGCGGCGCGGUAAGUCGGGUGUGAAAUCUCGGAGCUUAACUCCGAAACUGUAUUCGAUACUGCCGUGCUUGAGGACUGGAGAGGAGACUGGAAUUCAUGGUGUAGCAGUGAAAUGCGUAGAGAUCAUGAGGAAGACCAGUGGCGAAGGCGGGUCUCUGGACAGUUCCUGACACUGAGACACGAAGGCCAGGGGAGCAAACGGG